AUUGAACGCUGGCGGCAGGCCUAACACAUGCAAGUCGAGCGAGCGGCGGACGGGUGAGUAAUGUCUGGGAAAAUGCCUGAUGGAGGGGGAUAACUACUGGAAACGGUAGCUAAUACCGCAUAACAUCAGAUGCGCCAAGAUGGGAUUAGCUAGUAGGUGGGGUAACGGAUCACCUAGGCGACGAUCCCUAGCUGGUCUGGGAUGAUGACCAGCCACACUGGAACUGAGACACGGUCCAGACUCCUACGUGAGGCAGCAGUGGGGAAUAUUGCACAAUGGGCGCAAGCCUGAUGCAGCCAUGCCGCGGGUGUGAAGAAGGCCUUCGGGUUGUAAAGCACUUUCAGCGGGGAGGCGUUACCCGCAGAAGAAGCACCGGCUAACUCCGUGCCAGCAGCCGCGGUAAUUC
rnacentral:rRNA from 1 species